GACGUAGGGCGCGAGCGUUGUCCGGAUUUAUUGGGCGUAAUGAGCUCGUAGGCGGCUUGUCGCGUCGUCCGUGAAAACUUGGGGCUCAACCCCAAGCUUGCGGUCGAUACGGGCAGGCUAGAGUUCGGUAGGGGAGACUGGAAUUCCUGGUGUAGCGGUGAAAUGCGCAGAUAUCAGGAGGAACACCGGUGGCGAAGGCGGGUCUCUGGGCCGAUACUGACGCUGAGGAGCGAAAGCGUGGGGAGCGAACAGG
rnacentral:rRNA from 1 species